AAACAAACCGCCGGUUGCUGCUUCAGAGAGCCGCUCGCCUCCGUUAUUUCUGCUCAUUUUGGACAGAAAACGCUUCACGGGGUGCACAGGGUUUGCUGAGAAGAUGCUUAUUUUCCCACGACUUGCUUCGUAUCUCAUAUCUAUGUGACUGAUUUUUGAUAGAUCAGACAAAGGUCACGUUAUUGACCAAAAUAGCACAGUUCUUUGGUUGUUUUUGGCUAGAUGUAAGCCUUUAGUCGAUGCGUUGCAGCCUAUGACGAUGAUGUGUUGUAAAGGUAUGGAAACUAUGAUGUAAUUUCUGUGUACGGGCAACCCCAACAGCUCCUCCAGCAGAAGCUGCUUCCUCCUGCCUUCCAGAUGCUGCUGACCAAGUUGUCCACCAUCUGACAGUGGGAACAUUGUCAUCCCUACCUGUGCUGCAACGCCUAAUUGAACUACUCAAUAAGACCACACUUGGGCGGUUCUGGCUGAUGACCUGUCGCCAUAGCUGAUAGAAACCCAGAAGGAAUAUCAUCCCCAAUGAUACUGCUAAUAUUAGUAACUGUACUGAUGAGGAACAGGAGGGCAGGCUUAUCCAUUGUCCCUGAACUGCUUGAAGUGUAGAGUCAAAAUGACAGUGCCACUUUGUUACCGCUAGUCACAUGUUUGAGAAGAUGUUCUGCAAAAAUAAUAACAAUACAGAGAUGGUCUUGCUCUUCAAUGAGGUUCUGACAAUCAUAUGUUGGAAUCCAUUAUAAAGAAAACCUACAGUAGUUGAACACUCUGUGUAGGUAGUAACCUGUUUGUUGAACGCCAGUGAUUCUAAGAACAAAAAUAACUGUUACCUGUAGGACAAUGUCUCUAUCACAGGUCACCAAGGGUACAACAAGGCAUAUCCUUAAUAAAAUACAUUUUC
ensembl:lncRNA